UUAGGGAUUUCUGCAACCGGGAGUGCGGGCUACCCCACCUCGGAGGAAAGGACUCGGCUAUCUUCUGAAUCGUGCUCGAUCGAGGCAAUGCAGGUGAAAUAUACGCUCUUGUACUCCGACAUCUUCCAAUCCAGAAAAGCCUCCUCGCUCUCUCCGGUAAGAGUUUUCCUUUUAUAGUCUUUAGCCCACACCGUGCCAAGAGCUUCUCCAGCUCUCGUAGUCUGUCCCUUUGGGAUCUUUGCGUUCUUCAGUUUUUUGGGUGUGUUGUGGCGAGUUUCUUACUUGAUUUCACGGUUUUUUCCAGGACGUCCCUACGUAUAUCAACUCUUGGUGAAAACUAAGAAAAAAGUUGGAAGGCAAGCAGUUUGGAGUUUGCUUAUUUGCCUGGUAUAAAUGAAUAACUUAAAAUUUAUUUU
rnacentral:lncRNA from 1 species